UUAGAUAGAUAGACUUGAACUUCUAAAUAAAUUCUAUUGAAGUGAUCAGAAAGAAAAGUCAAUAAUUAAUCCAGGGUCUCUAUGUUUUUCCCAUAAGCAUUAGAUGAAUGUAACGGUAGAAGAUUAAUUUUCAUUUUAGCUGUUUGUUCUUUCCUAACAAAACCAUGUCCUUUUAUUUUCUGGUUGGUGGUCUACAAAUGAAAUACAUUUAAAAAUAGGUAUUGAAAACAGAAGACUUUUUCACCAUAGAUUUCAAUAAAAAGAACUAUUUUGAAUGAUAAAAUUAACUUGCUUAAAAGUUUAGAUUUAGACACAACUGUUGAAAGAGCUUAUCUCUUCAUUUUAAUGAUGAAGUGAUACAUAUUUUAGGAGUCCUGUUUUCUCACAUAGGCAUACGGAAGAAUUAUUAUCAGCAGUGAGUUGAUAGAUGAGCUAAACCUUAUCACUGCUUCACAGAUAAGGCUAAGGUGAGUGAACUAAUAAAUGCUUAAUGGGAAAAAGUUGACAGGUUCCUAACUUCAACCAUGUUAUAUACGUGUAGAAUAAUGGCAUUAGGUGCCCUGGGGUUGAGUAAAGAAGCUGUGAGAAAAAUCAUAGAUUUGGCUUUUGGCAGAUUGGGUUCAUAAGGAAAAACCACAUUCAAUUUAUACCAAUAAAAUAAAUUGAGGGUUGCUUAAAAGUAGUCUGUGCAAAUGUUUAUUUCAAAUAGAGUGUGCAUCAUCAUAAAGUCUAUCUGCUUACAUUAUCUUGCCACUUGAUAGAUUGAUAUCUACAGCUCCAACAAGCUUGUUGUGAUAAAGUUAAAUUUUAUUUUCCAAGAUCUGGCAUUCUGAUAACUGCCAUAGACCUAACUUUACUAGGUAAAAGCUUAGUUUUCUAUAUCAUUUCUCCCUAUAAUUUUCUUGACUUGUUAUGGAUUCAUAAAUUUAUUAGGCAUUCUUUUUUUUGUUUGUUUGUUUUGCUUUUUAGGGCUGUACCCACAGCACAUGGAAGUUCCCAGGCUGGGGUCGAAUCAGAGGUGCAUCUGAGACCUACAGCGUAUCUUAUGGCAACACUGGCUCCUUAACCCACCUAGCAAGGCCAGGUAUGGAACCCGCAUCCCCAUAGAUACUAGUGGGGUUCAUACCUGCCGAGCCAAUUGGGAACUCCUCUUAGGCAUUACUUGAAAUCAAUAAAAUUGGAAAGUUCCAAUCUGCAUCCCUAUUAUUGUUUAUUUUUUCCAGUAGAUUUCAGGAACCUGGAAGCAAGCUCAGAUAUAGAGGAUACUUGUUAGAAUUUUGGUAGGUAGGUGAAAGGAAAAGCCAAAGAGGCUGGCAGGAAAAGAUAUUGAGAAUAUUUGAAAUAAUAGGUAAUGUGAUCUGAGCUUGAUAAGGAGGGAAGUAAAAUAGGAUGAUGCCACCAAGCAGGAAAUAUGUAGAGACCUGACCGUCUCAGAUGUGAUGUAGAACAUUGAGAAUUGUAAUAAACAGGAAAAUCUAGUAUUUAUAUUUAUAGUGUAGGAUCUUUUAUACAACUGAUAAUAAAUACUCUUUCUAAUGCCAAUUAUUUCUUCCUCACUCUAAGGAUAAAGAGAAUUUGAUAUGUGAUAUUAUCUAACUCCUUUGAUUUUUAAAAAUAGAAAAUAUAUUAUGCUUAAAAAAUUCUUAUUUCUAAAUAAAAACAAAUAAAAUGGCUAGAGCAUGUUAAGAAAUGACUAUAAUAGAAGAAAGUGACUUUCAAAUGACUAUGAAAUAUUUUUACUUUAAUAUUUAUUUUUAGAGUCCUUGUAUAAUUCACUGUAAUUAGAGUGUUCAUAUUUUUUUUUGCCAUGUACUGAUUAAACCCAGUUGGGAUUAGAGCAUAUGAAGAACUAAACCACUGUAAAAGAAAUAAUAUCACACUAUGAGCCAGUUUGGCAUGCCAUGUAGAUUAAGCAACCUAAGGUGUUAAAUUAUAGAUAUUUAAAUUACCUUUCAUAAAAUCUUUUUAUAGAAAACUUACUUCAGAGAGUAUAAAAUCUACUUAGCAUAAAAAUGAUAAAAAUUAUGUCCGAGGGCACCCAGUUCCUUACUGGGUAUUGGCUGAAAGAUGCUGUCAGAUUCUAGGGGCCACCUUCAGUUCCCUGCCACAGUGCUGAGUACUUUGUAACAUGACAGGUUGCUUAUUCAAGGCUUGCAGGAGAGCAUCUCUCCCAGCUGUGGGCUAAUGAUAUCUAGUUUUAUAUAAAUUUAGGUAAUCGUAGGAGCUACAUGCCAUCACCUUUGCCACAUUCUGUUGGUUUUUAUUGGUUGGAAGCAAGGCCACCAGUUCUGCUUGCCCUCGAAAGAAUGAGAUUAUAUAAGAAUAUGACGCUGGGGGCCCCCUUAGACUAUGUCCUCCACACGUACAUUCAUUAAAUUUUUGAUGAAAAGUGAGAAUCUAAUAGGCAAUCCCAUGAAAACUGAAUUAUGUUUCAGACACUGAUCCUUUAAAAAUGCGAUUGGACCCAUUGACUCCAAACGUAUCUCUUUUCCUGCUGCUUGUAACAUUCUGUAAUUUUCUAACCCACUUGGAAUAAAGGCUGAAGUCCUCACCAAGGUCUGUAGACCAACAUGAGUUGGCCUCUGUUAAUGAUUUCUUAUGAUUUCUCCCCUUGCCUCUGUGUCACAGUCACACUCAAAAUUUGUUCUCCGUAUAGGCCUUUGAUGUAGUUAUUUCCUCUCCCUGCUUAUCUUCUCUUCAAAGUAAAUGUAACCUUCUCCGAAAGGCUUUCUCUGACUAUUUAAUCUAGAAUUUUACCAAUCAUCAUUGACAUUACAUAACCUUGUUUCUAUUGUCUUUUGGAAUCAGUCAUUGGUGGUAUUUUCUUCUGGUUGGAUUUAGUUUUGCUGUUUAGCCUCUACCUCCUCUACAAUAGAACAUAAGUUCUAUAAAAGCAGAGGCUUAAUGUUUAGUAGUUCAUCUUAUUAUUGCCAGCACCCAGAGCAGUUUGUCUCACUGGUGGGCUCAAUCUAUAUUUGUUGAAUGAAUAAAAGUCCUACAUAAAUCUUCUCUGGAGGCAGCUUUUGUUAUUACUAAAGAAAUCAGAUUCAAAGUUCUGAAAACACUUACUUUGCUCCAUGUGUUUUUGGUUUGACUCUCUGUGUAAAUUAUCAGUCUUGCAAGUACCAUAUCUUGUAACUCUUCAGUGGUCGCCAUAAAACCUCAUGCUCUGGGAACAUAAUUUUUAAUACUAUGUGCUGGUUGCUUAUCAGGACAUAACCAUUCUUUUCAUUUUGAUGCAAUUGUGGAUUAACUACUUGCCCUAUUUACUAAUUAAGUUAUACCGUUACUAAAUAAAUAUAUUCCAACAAUGUAAAUUAUUUCUUAUUUCAAGAAGAAAUGAUGGAGGAACUGAUUUUAGCUGCAAUUUACAUAUCUUCUUAAAGAAGUCCAUGGGUGGCAGUACUAUGUUUAUGAUUAAGACCAUCAACAUGUGGUUUAAUACAAAUAUCUCAGGAAUUUUAGUGAUUUUAGGGGUAUGCUCCUGUCUUGGAAAGGGAUAACUCCAUUACAAAAAAAGAAAAAAAGAAUCUUGGCUAAGUAAACACAUUCUGGAACUGUUUCUAUCUUGUGCCAUGCUGCCAGUUAAUGAGUUUGAUGAAAGAGGUUGUAAUAACCUAUAAUGAAAGAGAAUGUAAAAAAAAAAAAGAAUAUAUAUAUAUACACACACACACACACACAUAUAUAUAUAUAUCUGAAUCACUUUGUUCUACAUCUGAAACUAACACAGCAUUGUAAAUCAACUCUACCCCAAUCAAGUUUUUUUAAAGAAGAAGUUGCUUUACGUUAGGAGUACAAUUUAUACCACUGGGAAUGUAAACUAGAGAAGAUAGAGAUUUGGAGAGGAACUGGUUGAAUGAUGUGUUGCACAGAGCUUGUGUUUUGUUUUGUUAUUUGGGAAUAUUCAAUAUUGAAAAAUAGAGUUUAAAAUGUUUUUAAGUCCAAGAAAUGAGCUUAAAACAAUUCUCUAAGAUUAAGAAUAAAAUGAAGCAUGUUUUCUUAUCAGGAGAUAAAGUUGGAACUUGAGUUUAUAGAGCACACUUAAAUAUGCAGAGAUUCACAGAAGCAUUUAUUUAAUACCUUGUAACACAACAGCUUGAAAAGAAUUAUGCAAAAAUGUAAAUAUAAUUAGUAUCAAAAUUUUGAAAUGCAGACAAUGAAAUUUCCAGUUAAUGUCUGCUAUAGAAAACUCAGCUGAAGGAGCAAAGCUAGAGAAGGUAAUUAAUCUUCAAGACUGAAAGUAUUAUAAUAGAAAUUGUCCUUUUUGAGGUAUAUAAUUGGAUUUCCAAGAACAUAGAAUCAUCUACUUUUAAAGGUAGAAACAAAGAACGUGUGGAUUUAUGACAUUUCCUUAGCAUCAUUUUCAUUUUUUAAUGAAGAGUCUCAAAUUAUUAAUCUAGGGAAGAUGUUUAUAAUUGCUGAUCAAAUUCUGUCCUGGGGCAAGUUGACUAAAUAGCUUUUGAUCAUACACAGUUAGUGACAAAGAGUUUUCAUAGGUUUCAUCGACAAGGUCUUUAUGAGUGAAAGGGAUAAUUUCUUUUCCUAUAAGAGACACAUUUUUUUUUGAUGUUACCACCUUAAAAAGAUCUUUUCAUGAAUUAUACAAAGCUUAUGGCAUUACCUUGAGUCAGAUAGUACUGCAUGCCCUUCAGUGAUAAAAGUUUCAAAGAAAGUCACACUUCCCAAUGAAAAAUGAAGUAAGGAAAAUUUUAUUCACUGUUCAGCACUGUACACAGGGCCAGGCAUUGUGCUGUGGGAUACGUUCAUAUGGCCAAAUAGGAAUGUUUUGGAAUUCCUGUUGUGGCUCAGUGGUAAUGAACCCAACUCAUAUCCAUGAGGAUGCAGGUUCGAUCCCCGGCCUCUUUCAGUGGGCUAAGGAUUCUGCAUUACCAUGACCUGUGGUGUAGGUCACAGAUGCAGCUC
rnacentral:lncRNA from 1 species